rnacentral:rRNA from 1 species
UACAGAGGUCUCAAGCGUUGUUCGGAUUCAUUGGGCGUAAAGGGUGCGUAGGUGGCGUGGUAAGUGGGGUGUGAAAUCCCGAGGCUCAACCUCGGGACUGCAUUCCAUACUGCCAUGCUUGAGGACUGGAGAGGAGACUGGAAUUCACGGUGUAGCAGUGAAAUGCGUAGAGAUCGUGAGGAAGACCAGUGGCGAAGGCGGGUCUCUGGACAGUUCCUGACACUGAGGCACGAAGGCCAGGGGAGCAAACGGG